rnacentral:sRNA from 1 species
CUUGGGGCUUAACGAAGGCGAGAGGCCCAGGUCCCGGACAGGGAUGGGGGCAGGUGGCAGCCAGCGCUUCUUAAACUUUCAAACUUUUGGUAAAGUUUAGUAAAAUACUUUUGUGAGCAGUUUUGGCUUUAGAGAAAAGUGAGCUCAAGCUUCUGAAAGCGGAUGAACACAUGGUGUGUGAGGCGCUCCUGGCGGGUCAUGUCACAGUGAACGUUUACAAAGAUAAAUGUCACCUCACACACCCGAUAAUAAGACAAGGCGCCUGAUGGGACGAGGCAGCAGGGGGGCUCAGGCCCUCCAGGGCCACGUGACAUCCACAGCACGGCCCCGGCUGGGGUGCAGGCUGUCCCGUGGCUCUGCACCCCGCAUUAUAAACACCAAGGUGGGGUGAAAUGUGUCCUCUCCGCUUAGCACGGGCCUUGCUCACCGGCCUGGCUCCUCAGACACACCUGGGAUUGCCCUUUCCAGGCCAGGCCAGCCCCUUUCCUGCUUUCCCAAAAUGGUCUGGGUGGCAGGAGUGGCCGCUCUGAUCCAGGUGGGCAUGGCCACGCUUGCAGGGCCCCGGGGAAGGUUUACCUUCAUGUGGCAAAGGUGAGGACUGGUAGAAGCUCCGUGCCACUGAAACGGCCUGUGACGUCCGUGGGAGCCUCCAUGGCAGAACACUGCACAUUGACACAGCCCUGACUCCUGGAGCCCUCCCACCUUCCUUCUAGAGCCCUCCCACCUUCCCUUUAGCACUCCCUCCCUCUGGCCACCGGCCCCCAACUGGGCCUGGCCGGCCCCUGCAGCACCCCAGACAGUGAAUCCCACUCCAGUCCCUUCAUCUGGCCAGGGAGAGGCUGCCAGUCUCAUAACAGAUGCUGAGCUGGUGCCCACUGUGUGCCAGGUGUCCUCAUAGGCACCCAGAUGCAGCCCCAUCCUAACUUUCAGGGGCUUUGGUUCUGACAGGAGGAGGCAGGAGGAUGGCAUCCUAGCAAACGCGUGCUGGGAGGGCCGGGUGCUGGGCAGGGAGCGUACCCUGGCACAGGCUUGGAGGGGCGGGUGCUGGGCAGGGAGGGCACCCUGCUGUGGACUGGGAGGGCCGGGUGCUGGACAGGGAGGGCACCCUUCUGUGGGCUGGCAGAGCCGGGUGCUGGGCAGGGAGGGCACCCUGCUGUGGACUGGGAGGGCUGGGUGCUGGGCAGGGACGGUACCCUGGCACAGGCUUGGAGGGGCAGGUGCUGGGCAGGGAGGGCACCCUCUUGUGGGCUGGCAGGGCCGGGUGCUGGGCAGGGAGGGCACCCUCCUGUGGGCUGGGAGGGCCAGGUGCUGGGGAGGGAGAGGCGGGUGCUGGGCAUGGAGGGCACCCUGGCUCAGGCCCAGCCGCAGGUCCUGGGUGACCCUGCUGCUUUCUUCCAGCUGGAGGCCCGGACGCCACUCCCACGAGGGACGGACAACGAAGUGGCCGCCUUGCAGCCCCCCGUGGUGCAGCUGCACGACAGCAACCCCUACCCACGGCGGGAGCACCCCCACCCCACCGCGCGGCCCUGGCGGGCAGACGACAUCCUGGCCAGCCCCCCUCGCCUGCCCGAGCCCCAGCCCUACCCCGGAGCCCCGCACCACAGCUCCUACGUGCACCUGCGGCCGGCGCGACCCACAAGCCCACCCGCCCACACCCACCGCGACUUCCAGCCCGUGCUCCACCUGGUUGCGCUCAACAGCCCAUUGUCAGGCAGCAUGCGGGGCAUCCGCGGGGCCGACUUCCAGUGCUUCCAGCAGGCGCGGGCUGUGGGGCUGGCGGGCACCUUCCGCGCCUUCCUGUCCUCGCGGCUACAGGACCUGUACAGCAUCGUGCGCCGCGCCGACCGCGCAGCCGUGCCCAUCGUCAACCUCAAGGACGAGCUGCUGUUUCCCAGCUGGGAGGCUCUGUUCUCAGGCUCUGAGGGUCCGCUGAAGCCCGGGGCACGCAUCUUCUCCUUUGACGGCAAGGACGUCCUGAGGCACCCCACCUGGCCCCAGAAGAGUGUGUGGCAUGGCUCGGACCCCAACGGGCGCAGGCUGACCGAGAGCUACUGUGAGACGUGGCGGACAGAGGCUCCCUCGGCCACAGGCCAGGCCUCCUCGCUGCUGGGGGGCAGGCUCUUGGGGCAGAAUGCCGCAAGCUGCCAUCACGCCUACAUCGUGCUCUGCAUCGAGAACAGCUUCAUGACUGCCUCCAAGUAGCCGCCGCCUGGAUGCGGAUGGCCGGAGAGGACGGGCGGCUCGGAGGAAGCCCCCACUGUGGGCAGGGAGCGGCCGGCCAGCCCCAGGACCUGGCUGCCAUACUUUCCUGUAUAGUUCACGUUUCAUGUAAUCCUCAAGAAAUAAAAGGAAGCCAAAGAGUGU